UAAUGGUGGCUCGGGCGGGGCAGCCGCGAGGCUGGCCGGUUUCCUCUGGGUUCGCCGGUAUUCCUACCCCCGCUCGGGCUACCGCCA
rnacentral:antisense_RNA from 1 species